GCCUGAGGAGCACGCCGCGUGUGUGAUGAAGGGUUUCGGCUCGUAAACUCUGUUGUAAGAGAAGAACGACAUUGAGAGUAACUGUUCAAUGUGUGACGGUAUCUUACCAGAAAGGAACGGCUAAAUACGUGCCAGCAGCCGCGGUAAUAC
rnacentral:rRNA from 1 species